UGGGGCGUCGCCAAGCGGUAAGGCACCGGAUUUUGAUUCCGGCAUUCGCAGGUUCGAAUCCUGCCGCCCCAGCCA
rnacentral:tRNA from 1 species